CUUCGAGUUAGAUAGACUUGCGUGUUACGGAAGGUAAUUUCUAUGAAAUUUCACUUCUAAUGUCAAUUCAAGAGUUUAACUUAUGGAAAACUUCGAAUUAUAGACGUUCGAGUUAUGGAAGUUCAACUGUAUUCAAAGAUCUUUUCUAACUUUUUGGAAAUUGGAGGAACGAAACUCUUGAAGUUAUACAGAGGUAGAGAAGAUAUGUAUGAAUCAACUAAUUGAUAUUGCUUCCUUAAAAUUAUCACCAUAAUCCACAAAAAACUUCGAGUUAGAUAGACUUGCGUGUUACGGAAGACGUUCGAGUUAUGGAAGUUCAACUGUAUUCAAAGAUCUUGUCUAACUUUUUGGAAAUUGGAGGAACGAAACUCUUGAAGCUGUUGAAGUUAUGCAGAGGUAGAGAAGAUAUGUAUGAAUCAACUAAUUGAUAUUGCUUCCUUAAAAUUAUAAUUAUAUAUUAUGCCUACAUAAUACUUCAGACUAUUUUAAGACAAUAUUAUAAAUCUCUUUGAAAUAAAAUCAAAAAUAAAAAAGUCUACAAAAGUCCGAAAAAUAGAGUUCGUAAUUUCUUUAUAAGUCUAUGAUGCCUAAAAUAAAAAAUAAUAAAAAUGGGAGAACAAUUUUUACGGCUUGAAAACGACAUAACAAAUAUCAUAGAAGUUUGUGAAAAAAUAUAAAGUUGCUGAACAAAGAAAAGAAUGAAAUCCACACAAAGGAAACUGUAAAAAAUCUCCAGAACAACGCGGCGCACUGCACCAAUCUCAUGCCAUAACGCAUACUCACAAUUUACAUAUAUAUUAUUUGUACUACACAAGCAACUGAACUUGUUUCACUCAUUACAAACAGCCUGAAAUUCUAAAAUACUAUAUAUGCCUGUUUCGUUCUAAUGCAUUGUACAUAGCCGUUGGUAACAAUGAAUCAUCUUACCUAUCAAACAUUUUUAUUUUCGGUCAAUUUUCUACGAAUUUUAUGUUGAAAUAAAUUAGCACAUUUAAUUUAUUAUAAACAAAUUAGCUCACAAUUAUGUUUUAAAAAGUUACAAUAAACGAAGUAAGAGGGUAAAAAAUAAAAACUUCCACAACUCAAAACUAUGGCAAAUAUUGAAUCUUCAAUUUAGAUAUCUAUGUAUAUACAAAUGUACUGCAAAUAUAAAUAACACCUUUUCUACAUUUAACGAGACAUUUUGUUUUAAUUAGCAUAAAAUAUGUUUAAUUACCACCAAAUAAAUAAGUUGAAAACACUACUAAUCGUUGUAACUAAUCUUGUACCGGAUUAGAAGAUAGCAAUGACUAUGCAAAAUACUGAAAAUAAUCAAUACGCAUACUGUACGAUUUAUUUAAACCAAGGUUUUUCCACGUACAUUGUACAGAACAAAAACGGCGGCAAAACUAAUAUAUGCUAGUAAUGAAAUUGGCUUGAUGGUCAGAUAAACUAUUAUUGAUUUUUCCCCUCGUUGAAUGCACAAUAACAAUUAAUAUUUCAGCAAAAUUUAGAUAAUAAUACGUUUUGUAAAGAGCACAUUUUUGCGUAAGAAACGCAAGUUUUUAAUAAUAAAUAACACAGUACCGCAUAAAGUUAUGGAAUAAUACUUACUGUGCAAUUUUCCUUGUCAUGAAGUGUGAUUGAUUUCACGCCUCCUAAAAUUACAUUCUUGGCUAUCUCCAGACCUAAACCGCCAAUACCCGACAACAAAAUGUCUGAAUUAGCCAUGCGACGCAUUGCAUCAUGACCCAGUACAUAGAGUUGGCGC